UAGACAUUUAUCUAACCUACUCUUAAAUAUCUCCAGUGAUGGAGAUUCCACAACCUCCCUAGGCUAACAACAAUGCUAUUUAAUUAUUAUGAAUUUUGGCAAUUUAAUUUCUCUGAUAAAUUUACAUCUGUAAUAAGCUAGUGACCAGUUAAGGCACUGAUUUGCUUUUUACAUAGCAUUCCAACCUGAGUGGGAUAUAGAACAGCAUUAGAUUCUCUGUGGACUGUAAGGAAGUACAAACUGUUCCAUAUAAAGAACAGUGUCAAUUUAGGAAGUCUACCAAGUGCAUUUUACGAACUGUAAAAACAUUGUCAAGCCAGAAGAUGCAUUUCAAGUAGAUGCAGACAUACUGCUCUGAAAAGGCCAAUCAGCAUAUGAUCCCUUUAGGGUUUAUUUCAAAGACUGGAUAACAAAUACUGCCAAACCUGAGCUCAUAAGUAGGCCUGGGUUAUGUUUAGAAUAGAUGCAGAAUGGUAUUUGACAACUGAACCCAUCUGUGUAAUGCACACUUACCUUUUUUAACCGACUUUAGCAAAUCCCAAUUGUGGAUUAAAAUCGCACGGGGCAAUUUCAGAUGGAAGCCAGGCGAGUGACUGCUAGUCAAGAGAUGCAAAUGUCUCCAUUUAUUUAUACCCAGUAUAAAUGACAAGGUGAUUUUUUUCUAACGGAAUGAAGUCUCAAGUUUUUGGAAGUUGUAAACCUUGCAUUUUUGAAUCACACAAAACUAAAGUGAAUGGAUGAGAUUAAAGUUAGUUCCACUGCUUUCAUUUUACAAAAUAUAAUGGGUAAUCUAGGAGUUCCACAACAUUUUUCUGUAAUGUGGUUUGUUUUAAUAAGGAGAUUACAUUUGGAUGGACUAGCUGCUCUGGAAUUUGGGAACAUGUUCAACAGCUGCAUCGAUGGUAGAACAAUACUGUGGUAAUGUUUCUGUACCAUUUGCUUUCUAGAGUGCAGUUUGUCCUUUCAGUGAGAAGUGACAUCUCCCACUCUACUUUUGUUCGUUAGCUCCCCCACUCCCAUCUGCUCAGUUAUUCUCCACUGAAGUCAGCCAGAAUCAUAUGACCAGCCAAUCCUCCAUGGACCAGUAGGCUUCAGGGCUUUUCUUUGGGAUCCUUCAAGACACUAUCUCCGAAGUACUUUACUAUUUCUGGCAACCCAGCAGCUAUUUGACAGUACACAGCAAUACUACACUACCCAGUUCAGCAAGGUACUGAAGCAUGUGCCUAACUUUAAACAUGUGAGUAGUCCCUCCAAAGUCAAGCAUUUAAGUCAGGAGUGAGGUACAUUUGUCCAAUUGAAAUUGCAGAGGGAGUUUUUGGUAGCCAACGCCUUGACCCUUAGCAGUUAAGUAGAGUACCAAAGGGCCUGAUCGAAAGCUCCAUGGAGCCAAUAGGAUGCCAGUUUUCCAAGGGCUAAGGAAAGUUCACCUGUUGCAACCCAUGUCCCUACUUAACUACUAACAUGAGAGUAAAAUGGAUUAUUUCCAAACUGUUACCGAUGUAUUUAAAUAGCAUUUUAAUCAGCCCAUGCCCAUGUUUACCAUGUUACAGUUUACACAUUAAAGAAAACCCUAAACAGAGGAUACAGCAGCUUUUCAUUUUGCUUUUCCACUAACACUUGCUUUAUGUAUUUCUAAAACCUCUACUAUCAUGGUAAGAAAUUUUGCAGCCAAAAAUGGGGAAAAACACCACACACACUUUUAACCUAAAAAAAAUACAAUUCGAUAAUCUGAGAUGCUGAAUUUAAUUCCAUCUUAUUUUCUAGCCACAACAGCUAGUUUGACUCAUGAAUAGAUUUUUGUUUAAAGUGCAACUGCUGGGAUAUGAAUUUACAGCACUCCGCUGUUUCAAAGCACUCUGACAUGCUAACACACUGGGGCAAGUGUUAGAACCAGUGGAUACAAAUGGCAAUUACAGUGGCUAGACCACUAGUGCUAGUGGAAGCACGUGCUGUGCUCCUUUCCCCAUACGGUGCUGACAAUCCUGGCUUGUUACUGCUGUUCUAGAGUCCUGGUAUUUUCCUGACCAAAGACUGCCAAUCGUAUCAAUUUGUGCUGGUCUUUUAAAGACUUCUCACCCCCCCAACCCCAUCUAGCAGUGUGUGGGGUGGGGGGGGGUUAGGUUGGAUUGGUGCACUCAUUCCCUGCAUCUCUUGGGUUCAUACUGCUUACUGGUGUAUAUUGCUUCAGCUGCCAGCACUUU